AUUGAAAAUGAAACUGUCCUCAGUACCUAGCCACCCUGAAGAACAAGAAGGAUGGUCCUUCUGGAGGUAUGCUCGUUAUAGAAUCUAAUCUUACGAUUUCCUCUGCAUCCAGUUGGGUACUUGACUCUGGUUCUAGUGCUCAUUUGUGCACUUUUAUGCAGGGUCUUGAUUUAAGGUGCAGGGUCUUUGAUUGAAUCAAUCUCUGGAUCAAUGGAGUUUUAAUCUAACUAAUUUUUGAAUUGGAUUGGGACCUAAUUAGUUUCAUAAUUAGG
rnacentral:lncRNA from 1 species